rnacentral:rRNA from 1 species
GACCAGACUCCUACGGGAGGCAGCAGUGGGGGAUAUUGCACAAUGGGGGAAACCCUGAUGCAGCGACGCCGCGUGAGUGAAGAAGUAUUUCGGUAUGUAAAGCUCUAUCAGCAGGGACGAAAAUGACGGUACCUGAGUAAGAAGCACCGGCUAACUCCGUGCCAGCAGCCGCGGUAAUACGGGGGGUGCAAGCGUUGUCCGGAAUCAUUGGGCGUAAAGCGUUCGUAGGCGGUAAAGUAAGUCAGAUGUUAAAGCCCGGGGCUCAACUCCGGUUCGGCAUUUGAUACUACUUGACUAGAAUGCGGUAGAGGUAAAGGGAAUUCCUGGUGUAGCGGUGAAAUGCGUAGAUAUCAGGAGGAACAUCGGUGGCGAAAGCGCUUUACUGGGCCGUUAUUGACGCUGAGGAACGAAAGCCAGGGUAGCAAACGGGAUUAGAUACCCGCGUAAC